rnacentral:rRNA from 1 species
CCAAGCCGAGCGGUAGAGAUCUUUCGGGAUCUUGAGAGCGGCGUACGGGUGCGGAACACGUGUGCAACCUGCCUUUAUCUGGGGGAUAGCCUUUCGAAAGGAAGAUUAAUACCCCAUAAUAUAUUGAAUGGCAUCAUUUGAUAUUGAAAACUCCGGUGGAUAGAGAUGGGCACGCGCAAGAUUAGAUAGUUGGUGAGGUAACGGCUCACCAAGUCAGCGAUCUUUAGGGGGCCUGAGAGGGUGAUCCCCCACACUGGUACUGAGACACGGACCAGACUCCUACGGGAGGCAGCAGUGAGGAAUAUUGGACAAUGGGUGAGAGCCUGAUCCAGCCAUCCCGCGUGAAGGACGACGGCCCUAUGGGUUGUAAACUUCUUUUGUAUAGGGAUAAACCUACCCUCGUGAGGGUAGCUGAAGGUACUAUACGAAUAAGCACCGGCUAACUCCGUGCCAGCAGCCGCGGUAAUACGGAGGGUGCAAGCGUUAUCCGGAUUUAUUGGGUUUAAAGGGUCCGUAGGCUGAUUUGUAAGUCAGUGGUGAAAUCUCACAGCUUAACUGUGAAACUGCCAUUGAUACUGCAAGUCUUGAGUGUUGUUGAAGUAGCUGGAAUAAGUAGUGUAGCGGUGAAAUGCAUAGAUAUUACUUAGAACACCAAUUGCGAAGGCAGGUUACUAAGCAACAACUGACGCUGAUGGACGAAAGCGUGGGGAGCGAACAGGAUUAGAUACCCUGGUAGUCCACGCCGUAAACGAUGCUAACUCGUUUUUGGGCUUUUGGGUUCAGAGACUAAGCGAAAGUGAUAAGUUAGCCACCUGGGGAGUACGAACGCAAGUUUGAAACUCAAAGGAAUUGACGGGGGCCCGCACAAGCGGUGGAUUAUGUGGUUUAAUUCGAUGAUACGCGAGGAACCUUACCAAGGCUUAAAUGGGAAAUGACAGGCUUAGAAAUAGGCUUUUCUUCGGACAUUUUUCAAGGUGCUGCAUGGUUGUCGUCAGCUCGUGCCGUGAGGUGUUAGGUUAAGUCCUGCAACGAGCGCAACCCCUGUCACUAGUUGCCAUCAUUAAGUUGGGGACUCUAGUGAGACUGCCUACGCAAGUAGAGAGGAAGGUGGGGAUGACGUCAAAUCAUCACGGCCCUUACGCCUUGGGCCACACACGUAAUACAAUGGCCGGUACAGAGGGCAGCUACACUGCGAAGUGAUGCAAAUCUCGAAAGCCGGUCUCAGUUCGGAUUGGAGUCUGCAACUCGACUCUAUGAAGCUGGAAUCGCUAGUAAUCGCGCAUCAGCCAUGGCGCGGUGAAUACGUUCCCGGGCCUUGUACACACCGCCCGUCAAGCCAUGGAAGUCUGGGGUACCUGAAGUCGGUGACCGUAACCAGGAGCU